rnacentral:rRNA from 1 species
ACUACGGGGUGCAGCAGUGGGGAAUAUUGGGCAAUGGGCGCAAGCCUGACCCAGCAACGCCGCGUGAAGGAAGAAGGCUUUCGGGUUGUAAACUUCUUUUCUCAGGGACGAAGAAAGUGACGGUACCUGAGGAAUAAGCCACGGCUAACUACGUGCCAGCAGCCGCGGUAAUACGUAGGUGGCAAGCGUUAUCCGGAUUUAUUGGGUGUAAAGGGCGUGUAGGCGGGAGCGCAAGUCAGAUGUGAAAACUCAGGGCUCAACCCUGAGCCUGCAUUUGAAACUGUGUUUCUUGAGUGCUGGAGAGGCAAUCGGAAUUCCGUGUGUAGCGGUGAAAUGCGUAGAUAUACGGAGGAACACCAGUGGCGAAGGCGGAUUGCUGGACAGUAACUGACGCUGAGGCGCGAAAGCGUGGGGAGCAAACAGGAUUAGAUACCCCGGUAGUC